rnacentral:rRNA from 1 species
AUUGAACGCUGGCGGCAUGCCUUACACAUGCAAGUCGAACGGCAGCACGGGUGCUUGCACCUGGUGGCGAGUGGCGAACGGGUGAGUAAUGCAUCGGAACGUGCCUUUUAGUGGGGGAUAACGUAGCGAAAGUUACGCUAAUACCGCAUAUUCUCUGAGGAGGAAAGCAGGGGACCUUCGGGCCUUGCGCUAAUAGAGCGGCUGAUGUCGGAUUAGCUAGUUGGUGAGGUAAGGCUCACCAAGGCGACGAUCCGUAGCGGGUCUGAGAGGAUGAUCCGCCACACUGGGACUGAGACACGGCCCAGACUCCUACGGGAGGCAGCAGUGGGGAAUUUUGGACAAUGGGGGCAACCCUGAUCCAGCCAUGCCGCGUGAGUGAAGAAGGCCUUCGGGUUGUAAAGCUCUUUCGGCCGGGAAGAAAUCGCACAGGCUAAUAUCCUGUGUGGAUGACGGUACCGGAAUAAGAAGCACCGGCUAACUACGUGCCAGCCGCCGCCGUAA